GCCAGCAGCUCCAAUUGCAGGACAAGGUGCUUCCCUGGCCUGCACUCUACUGCCCAGGAGCCCAGCCCUUCCCAGGCCCUCGUCAGCUCUGAACCAAGGUGGCGGCGUGGAGGAGGACAGCUGGAAAGACGGCUGUGACAGACCGGCAAAGGUGAGAAGGCAGAGGCCCCAGGCAAGUGGACAGCCUGCAGGUGGAAGGCAGUUCACAGACGGCUGGGCGUGUGCUGUGGGGUCUGCGCAGUCCUGCUGUCCAUCCCAAAGACACACCCCAGGCCUGGUCAUUGGAGUCCACCGCCCUGGCACAGCUGCCGAGGAACCUAGUGAUCAGGCAACCACUCUUUGUGGCUCUCCUUUUGAGACAGGGAAAAAACAGGUAGGCAGUGUAGGUGAGAAUGAGAGGUCUGGUAGAGAGAAGAGGCUAGGACUGCUCUCCAGGUCAGCAGUCAGCAGGGGAAAUAAGGAGGGUCUCCAAGAGGACGACUGUUUUUCAAAGAAAGAACAAAAGGUUGCUGGUGGUGAUUUUUCAAGAAAAAUCAAACACUUCCACGUUCCUGUUCUCAGGCACAUAUGUAUAGGGAAGAAAGGAAAGUGAGGGUUAAGGAGAGAAGAUCUGGGGGCUGUGGGAAGGCCAGUGGCACCCCUCCCACAGGCGUUUUGUCAGGGGAGUCUGUCCCCUGUCACUUUCUUGAAUAAAUCCUCUGUGCUGCCUGGCUGUUCUCGCGUUCAUUCUUUGACUCCGUGGAACACUCUGGGUCCCCACCACUGAUAAGACAGUGUCACUUUCCCUUUUUAAGAGAAGCCAACUAACUUUUGAGCAUUGGACAGAGCCCUCGCCUGAUGGACAGGCAGCGAGUGGAGCUGGGAAGUUCCUCUGUGCAAGUGACCGGCCCUUCUGCCCAAGACGACGGGAAAGCCAGACCCCGGAGAAGUACACGUUCAACCUAGUCACACUGGUUGAAUCAUAUUCAUACUAGUUAGCUAGUCUUCUAAACCGAUGUUUCACUGGAACUCCAGGAAAAUGGAGAUUGAGAAGGAAAGAUAUUUUUAAAAUAUCCAAAUUUAGGAUAAUUUGGGAAAUUAUUUUUGGAGAGUCAAUAGAAAAAUUUUAUAAUUAGAGAAUAUGGCUCUUCAUUGGAGCCUGAGGGUUUUAUGGGUAAUUAUGUUACUUUACUUUCAUUAGCAUAUGUUAAUGGUAUGUAUUGCUGGGACUCAGUGUGAGAUUUCCACACACACAAACGGCAUGCACUAAUGUCUUUGUAGGAGACAGUGUGUUCCUGUCUCAUUGCGUUGACAGAGCACUCGGGGUUUCUUCUGAAUGCUAAAGGAGCUUCAGGUGAGAGGUAAAAGCUGUUGCAGCUUCUUCCCUCCAGGUUGAGCACGGUGGCCGUGGCUAGUCCACCCCCGGGCUCCUGGUGUCUCCCCUACAGAGUGGAGAGAUUGCCAUCUUAUCAGUGGGUUUUCUCCUUAGAAACGAGCGAGUAUUCUUAUUUGUUUUUCAUUUGUGAUACAAUAUCUCAGUGCUUACAGACUAGAACAAAACGAUAUACAGUCAAAGAGAAAGGUAGACAUUCUCGUCCCUUUCCUACCAACUUCCUGGAGACGGUAGUUUUACGGCUGGCAUCCCACGAACCAUGGGUGAAGGAUUGGGGAGUGAACACAGCCUGGGGGAACCUGCUGAGUUGACCUGUUCAACUACAUAAGUGUGUAAAAGGUCUUCUGCAGCACUGUCCCCUUUGCACACAGGUUCUGCCUUAUCAAUGCAUUACUGUGAAUGGAGGGAACCUGCCGUGGGGAGCUGACCACCAUGCUUUCUCUCCAAAGCCCUUGGAUCCAUCCCUGAACAUGUAUAGUGAGAGACUGUGGAGCGAGGCAGAGGGGGAGGCUGGGGGUCUUGAAGGCUUGCAGAGGCGGAGUGCCUUUGGGGUGCUCUUUGGGGAAAUGGGGUUGGCAGUUGUGUGCCGUCCCACGCUGGCAGCAGUGGGCGUGGGAGACUGGUGAUGUGGAGUUGAUCUCUCUGAAACCAGAUUCUGCUCCCCAGAACGUUAUCUCCGUCUUCCAGCUGUCUGGAGCAGGCGGAGAGCUGUGGAACCAGGGAGAAGGUGUCAUUGGGAGACAGGUUUCCUUUCUCUUUUCUUUCUUUUCCAGGGCUGGGGAGGGAACCCAGGGCCCCGCCCACGCUGGGCUGGAGUUCUCCCACUGAGCUGCCCCCCAGCCCUGGGAGACAGGUUUGGAAGGGAGAGGAUGGAUGUCAGGGAGGAGAAAAGGAGGGGAGGGAGCUGGGUUUCUCCUCGUCUUACCCCAGGACUAGACCAGCUGCCCCUGCUGUUGCCCGCCACUGGGCCCGGCCACCUCCCCUGCCUGUCCCAACAGCCAAUGGGAACUGGAACUCAAGCUGUACCCGGUUGCUGCCCCUCAGAGCCUCCCCUUUGCCUGAGGACAGCCUGCACGGUGUCCCCACUACCUGCCACCUUCAUCUCACGGCAACUCUGUCCAUCCUGCGCCUCAUCUGGCUCCCUUUACCUGCCCGUGUCUUCCCACCCCGACGGUGUUCAGCUGCUCCCUCGGAUGCCCUCUUUGCCCUCUCAGCGCUGUCUCUCUACUUCCUGCCCCGCAGAGCCCUGCCUGAGUGUCACCCCUGGACACAGGCUUUGGGACCAGGAGCUUCCUGUCACCCCUUCAGCUCCUGGAUUGCGGGCACACUCCACCUGUAGUGCCGCCGGCGGUGAGAGCAUCUCCUGGUCUUUCUCCUGUUAGAAGGAAGUGUGGCCAUGCCUGUGAUGGCAGCUCAUUGCCAGGGCCUGCCGUGGGGCCUGGACGGAGCUGGCACUCUGCGUAUUUUUAGAAUGAGUCAACAGGGAAAGAUGAGGUUUUUGCAAAUGAGGAUACUGGGUGGAGUCAGAGGGAGGAGACUGGGUUUUGAACAAAGUGUGGGCCUGGACUGUGACACUCACACACACCUGCUGGGUAGCUUCCCUCCGUCCCGCUGCUGCAGCAGGAGACGGAGGCUCAGAAAGAUGUGAGCUCGGCCAGCGGGAGUGGGGACUGAGUGACGGGUUUGCCCCCCUCCCCAGCAGGCUCCCCACGGCUGGCCUGCUCCAGGUCCACCUCACACUGAGGUGUAGGAAACCCCUGACUCCCAGCAUGGACGAGGGCCAGGCUGCCGAUCUACCCACCUGGAAGCUGAAGUUGAGUCCAUGGGGUCGAUGGGAAUACUCUGGUACAGAUGGUAAAGAUGCCAGAGUUGCUUGGGCUCAGGGUCCACCUUCCCGCCUCCCUGAGAGGGGACGUGGGUGGCUGGGUCCUCAUUUCCUGUUGGAGAACCACCUCCAUAGCUUGUGUGUUCGGCAUUUUAUGCUUUGGACACAAAACAUUCCUCAAAAGCUCAUGUGUGGAGAGUUUGCAGCGAGGUUCCGAGGUGGGGCUCCUAGGAAAUGAUGGCAUCAUGAGACCUCUGACCAUCAGUGGAUGGAUCUAUUUGAUGGUUUUAUGGUAGCUUCGUUUGUUGGAUUUAGGUGAUUUAGUAAUUAGUAGUGGACUAUUGGGUGAUAACUGUAGGCCAGGUGGAUGUGGUCAGAGGAAAAGGCCACCAGGGCUGUGUCCCUGGGGCUACAUCUUGUCCCUGGAUUCUCUCUGUCUGACACCCUGGCUGCCUCCCAGGAGCUAAGUGACUUUCCUCUGCCAUGCCCUCCACCAUGAUUUUUAGGACUUGGAGCCACCAACUGUGAACUGAAUCCUCUGAAACCAUGAGCCAAAAGAAUCUUUCUUCUAAGAUGCUCUUGUCAGGUCUUUUAGUCACAGUGACAAAAACUAACACAUAGUGUGUCUCCCUCCUCUGGCCUUGGCUUGCAGAAUGAAGUCAACAUAUGUGGAUGGGAUGGUGUGUUUUUUUGCUCUUUCUAGAAAUCAGCCACUUGGCCGGCGGUGAUCCUUCUUGGGAAUCACUUUGAGAACCUAGUGAAAGUUGAGAACAUCCUAGAGAAGCACACACUGGUUUUUAGACAUAAUGACAGCAGUGUCAUGGCUCAGCUGAGCACCAUUUGGAGCCUCUUGGGGCUGAUGAUGCCAAUUUAGGAACUACUGCUCUAGAAGAUCUUUCCCAGCAGGAUGCGAGAGGAGCUACCUGCAGAACUCUCUUUUGUUCUGUGUUCUCCAGGAAAUCAAAGAGAAAUGGUGAUUGCCUUGGCUUCUCAGAUUUUCUAGAUCAGAAGUUGGCACUGAAUAUGCUUUUGUCUUUAGAGAGUCUUUAGAGAGACGGGUAUAUGGCGUUUGCAGGGGCAGAAUGGCUUGGGCUGUGUGCUUUGGGGCAGUAACUGGAUCAUGAGGGUGGCAUGACCUUCUGAGCAUGGGAAAGUGCCAGGAACACUCCGUGGAUGGAAAUUUCUCAGUGUCCCCUGUGACUCUGUUUCCUUCACUGACUUGUGAAUUCCUCCAUUCCCAUGUUAAUAAAAUUUGCCAAAUUUCUGCUUCCAGGUGAGAACUGAGCUGGGGGAUUGGGAGUGGGCUCAGGUAGCAGAGCCCUUUUGGGGGGCCAUCACAGAAGAUGACAUUCCUAGGAAGAAGUAUAUAAACCUAAAUUUUCCUUUUGGUGCCUAGUAUGCAGUCUGUAUGAAGAUGUCCUAGUUGGGAAAGUUUGGGGACACCAAGCCUCUCCCAAGAUACUGACGUCACUGUUAACAGACAAGGUCUUGGAGAGCUUUGGGUUGUGAGCCUGGGACCUGGAGAAGAGGAGGAGGGAGGGGCUCUUCCCAUCCAGUGCCUUCCCCACCUGUGUCUGGGACCUUGGCUCACCUGUCCCGUGUCCCAUUUCUUCCUUCUCGUGCCAGCUGCCAUGAUGGUACCAUGUGACCCCACCUGCUGGCUACAGGGGGCUGGGUCUUCUGUGGGCACUGGACUCCAGGUGGACAAGACUGCUUUGUGGGCCUUUGGGACUUGGGUUGAGAAGGAGAAGCCAGAUCUUCAGAUGCCCAAGUUUUAGCAUGCAGAGGUGGUGAUGGAAAGUGACGUCUUAGAGGGUGUUUUCUGAGCUAACUUUGCUUUUGAACUCUAAAUGGAUUCUUGCUGCUGCGUUCUUGAGAUACCCCAGGACUCUUUUGAUAUAUCCCUCUUUUGGCUUAUGCUUCUUUGAGUUGAGCUGCUGUUUGCUUGCAGCUCAAAGGAUUUGUAUUGUUGAAACUUCCAAAGAUUCAGGGUCAGAUGUGUCCAGGCAUGACCAGGCCUCAUCAGCGCACAUGGUGGGGUGGGCUCGCAGUGGGGCUGUUCUGCGAGGUCUCGGAGUCACUGAGGCGAGAAUGCUGGAGGCCGGUUGUCUGGCACAGAGGACGAUCAGGAGACCGUCUCACAGGAGUCCUGCCAGGGAGGGCAGCCUCCACCCGGAGCCCAGCUCUCAGAAGUGAGCGCUUGGCUUUGAUACAGGAGGGCUGGAUGGCACACAUGGCUUUGUGAAUGGAGGCGCCCUGUGUGGUCUGCUGAAAGGAGUUCCACUGCUCUACAUGAAUGGAUGUGAAGCCACGGACUGGAACUUUCUCCAGCAGGUGUCCUGUGGAGUUCAGUAAGGACUCAGUAACAGCCCCGGAGCAGACAUCCGCAGAGCAGCCGUGGAAUUCACGUAAAUGUGGCGGCCCAUGGACAUAAUUUAUAGGGGAGAAGUCCAAGCUCACAUCAGGAGAAAGGAACAAAGCUGUUAACCAAGGGCAUGUUCUUGGCCUCAGAGAACAAUGUCAGGAAUGCGUAGCAUCUGGCCGUACCCCUGCCUCCUGCAUUGAGCUGGUUCUUUUCUGCACAAGUUUGUACUUAAAUGAGACCCAGGAGAUUAUGAAAGAGCAGGCUGCACUUCAGGGGAAGCUGGUGGCCUGGUGCCUCUCCAUUUCUUCCUCUCCUCCAAAAAGGCGUCUUCAUCGUGGAAUUAUAAAACUUAAGAGCUGGGAGAGACUUCAGUGGUUGUCUGGGGUGCUUUAGUGAGAGCCCUGGAAUGGGGCUCCCUGGUUCCACAGCUCCCUUGAUGGUACGUGGAACGCCGUGUGCCACAUUUUUCCUGGGAGAAGGUCAUGGCUUUCAUCAGGUAGGCCCAGGACUUGCAACCUUGAACUGGUCAAAACCCACUCUCUGGCCCAUUCACUGAGGAGGAAGAGACCUGGGCCCAGGGAGAGGAUGGGGGUGGAAGGCUCUGUGGGCAGGUGAUAGCGGAGCCUGGAUGGAGGACGAGAUCUCCUAAGUCCCAGAAUGCUCUUCCCCCUUCCUUGUGCUUUUAAAAGCUCCUACUGGAAGGUUCCCAAGGAAACUUGAUUUGCCUUAGAGGAGCGUGACAGCCGUAACCCGUGUUUUCCUUAACUGGGAAUUAACAAGUAGGUAAGAGCAUGCCAGCUUCCAGAAUGGAGGAGGAUGUUGUAACACUUGUGACUAUGACUCUGUGUUAAAAAAAUGCCUCUUACCCACAUUCUCCAUGUAAGUAUCAACUCAUUAAUCUUCAUAUUCAUUCCAUAGGACAGGAUUGCUCUUUCUCUUGAGAAUUAAGAGUUAAAACACAUACAGCACAGCAAAGUAUCUGGAAAUAAACCAGAAAGAUAUCUAACAGGAGAAGCAUCUAGAAUGAAUCACUUACUACAGCACUAGAAAGUUGCUUCUGUCUUUCUAAAGUCCCUGCAGAGGGGAUCCCAACCCAUCUCCAUUGCUCUUGGACUCAACUCUGUUUGUGAGCUUGCCCUUUUGAAAUUUCCUUGAGUAGAUAACUCCUUGCUAGUGCUCCAGUCCCCUCUUGUCCUGGGGCUGAAGACCGGGCCCCAUGUUGCAAACCUACCCCAUGGCAGUCAGGACCAUGGAAGGUUGGGUGACUCAUGUGGUCAUCAUUAGAUGACUCUAUGAGAGGGCAUCUAUAUGGCCAUUUUACUAAGCAAGGAAUUGAUACCCAAUGCUUAAUCUGCUUCUAUCUAUCUACUAUCUAUCUAUCUAUCUAUCUAUCCAUCCAUUCAUCCAUUCUAGGGAUUGAACCCCGAGGCACUUAAUCACAGAGCUAUAUCUCUGGCUCUUUUUAAUUUUUUUUUUUUUAAUUUUGAGAGGGUCUCAAUAGGUUUAUUACAAUAAUGCUAAAUUACUGAGUCUGGCUUUGAACCUGUGAUCCUCCUGCCUCAGCCCCACAAGCCUCUGGGAUUACAGGCAUGUACCAUGGCACCUGGCUUGAUUCUGAAAACUCCGCCUUUUCAAAGAUAGAGUGUGAGACAUGCCAAACCUGUCAAUUUAUUUUUAUAAAAUGCAUUUCUAGGUUUUGUGCUUACAAGAGAAACACACAUUCUUAGAGGAAGCCUGAGAAAGAGUAUAGAUAAUUUUAAAAAUACCUUCAAUUACACCGGAGAUGUGGCAACCCUAGAGGUUUGCUGUUCUCAUCCUCCUUCAGGAAGAACCUGCUACUGAGGUCUAAUAGCUGAGGACCUCCGGCAUCAGAGCCUCCAGGACCUUCCUCUACACAGGAGGAGAGGCCAUGUCUUCCCUGGGCAGUCCUCAGCCAAUGAUUGUGCACAAAGGGCUUGUGCUUUUCUUCCCAAUUUAGAAUUCUUCUAAUGGGAAUCAUCUCUCUGGAGUUCUCCGUUGGGUUGGCAGUGACCAGAGGUCUCACUGGAGUGUCUCCUUCCCCAUUGCAUGGGGAGGCUGGGGUCACACUCUUCACCAAGGCCCUUGGAGCGCAGGCAGAGGCCUCCAGUGUUACAGAGAAGUUCCAAGGAGUCCUCCCACUUUGCCCUGUGCAGCACAUUCUCUCUCCUGGGCCUUUUAAUCCCUCCCUCGCCAUCUGCCUCCACGACUGGGACAUUCCCAUCUCAUUCCAUGCAGGUCUGGGUAUUUCCUUGGAGCUGGCCUAGGGCAGGUUGAACAUAGAAGAGGCUGAACAGUGCCAGUCUCCCUGAUAGUGACUGGGACGUUGAAUAAGUAGAGGCCAGGGGACUGCACGUAACCAUCCAAAACUAGGUUGUCACCGUCCUCAAAACAAUCAGAAAACUUGGAGUGGCAUCCAGGAGGCAUAGCCUGCAAAAAACUGGGAAGACACUGACACAGCACAGCAUCCCAGGGAACAUGACGGGCCUCCCACCAUGCUGGGCAAAUGCACAGUCAAAGGAGACCAAGAAUGGUGAGCAGAAGGUUGGAGGGGGUUACCCCCAGAAGCUGACAGUCCCUGGCUGAGUUCCUGAGCCUGAGCUGGUGCCCAUUGAUUGCAGAGGUCCCCAAUUCCCAGAUUUUUUUUGAUGUUAUCACAACUGUAUGCUGUAACAGUUCCCUGAGUCUUUCCUCAAAGGGACUUACAGCCAUUGACUCAAGCGUCCACUGGUGGAAAGUGCCCAGACUUUUUGAAUGCAAUUAGUAACAGAGUCUGUUGACAAUGACAGUCAGAGAUCCAAAGUGUCAUCAUGGUCCUUGUUGGAAUAGGGACAUGUGGGGACCAGGUACUGAGUGACAUACUAGCCAAAGUCCAACUUAGAGUGUGUCCAGUGGCUUGGCAAAUCCAUCUGGUGCCUUUUAUUUCCUCAGUUCCUUAUUAUUUAGUUGGGACUGAUCUUUUUCACAGUUGGAAGAGCCUCCACAGGGUUUCCUUGGUCUCUAGGGUGAGAGCUAUCACUCGUGCCCAAGAAAAUAAAUAAAAAUAAUAUUGCAUGCUACAGGGGUGAUGAGUGCCCUCAUCAAAGGUUCGCAUGAUACAGAGAUGGUGGCCUCAAUUGUAAUCCUGUUUAAUCUGUAGACGGGCUCCUGUGGGAACCAGAGGACCUGGGACGCUAACUCUAACUUCUGCAGUUUCAACCAAUAGUGGCCCCUCUGCCGCUGCUGCACUUGAUGUGACCUUGUUGGGGGGCAGGUUAAUAUCCAAGUACAGGCCAUGCAGCCAUGCAUUUGGAGACUAUAUGUUUUCUUUUCUAUUUUAGUCAGAAAAAAAAAAAGACCUAGAGACCAUUAAUUAAUUAAAUCUGUUACAGACAACAGUGCACAUUUGCAGUCUUUCCAAGGGGCCAUGGAACUUCUCUUCCUGACUUCUCUCAAGAUGUGGGUCAAAGAGUUUUGGACUCUUGUGGACAUGCUGGGGCACUUUGCAUGCCUAGACGACCCCAUGUAGUGAUGAGUGAGGUGGGCUGUAUGCCGGAGGCCCACAGUGAGGGCCAGGGAGAGGUUACUUCAGAGCAGGUGCUGGGGCCCAGUAUUUAGGAUCACAUUAGAAAUUCCCUCCAAAGGAUAAGGCAAAUUUGUACAUUUUGCAUUCUUUAUUAAAAAAAGAGGGCGGGGGAGCAUCUGCCUGGUGAACCUCAGCUUCUGCAGGUACUGCACUGUACACCAGAGAUCCAGCUUUGGUCCGUAUGCCUGGUGACAUGGAAGGCUGCCCGCAUUGCAGGGGCUCCGAGUGACUAAGGGACCUUCAGCAGAUGCAGCAUCCAUGCCACUGCCCUAGAGGUCUGGUGGACCCUGUGAAGUUGGAGGUGUCAGGGGCGGGACAACAGAUUGUUCUAAGUGUCCUAGUGGCAAGUCCUGGUGGGAGAAUCACAGAGCAAUGUCAGGCCACCAGCAGCCACAGACUCUCAGCCUGUGGAAAGCUGCUGAGCCCUGGGGGUGAUGGAUCCCUUCGCCAUAGAGUACUGUGGCGCGACCUGUCCCAGUUUUCAGGAUGGAGGGGGUUCCCAGAACAGAAGACUUCUAGUGCCGAAGCUAAAACAUGUCCCGUGAACAUAUGGACAAGCUGGUCACCCCUGCAGUUGACUCUGCAUCUGGAACUCCCAUCAUGUGCUGGUUCUGAUGGACCCAACAAGUCACAUGGUUGGGCAGGCCCAGCAGCAAUCCAGUGUUGGGUGGUGAUGGUUCAUUCAAGACUGAGUGUUGGAGCAGGACUUAAAGGCAAAGCCAACUGGGAGCAGGGACCUGGGCUCCAUGCCACCCCAGGAGGACAGCAGUGUCCCUUCUAAAGCUCUUACUGCAGUGUGGGCGGGGUCCGGUACAACCAGCUGAAGGAGGGAGAGGUGCCCAAGUGGAUGAAAGGACUCAUCCAGGUGCCCUCGCCAGCCUUCCUUUUUGAUAGCUGACAUGGUGGGUACUUGAGCUAAAUGGCCGUGGGCAGAGAAGUCCGUGCAGUGUCCAACACCACAGACCUUGUUGUAGCUGUUCUGCUGCCUCUGAGUGGCCCCCAUGGCGAUACUGACCAACGCGGGGCCUUCACGGUGGUCCUCUUCCUCAAGCAGACCAACUACCACUUGGUAGCAAUUUGAGUAUGGGGUCUGGUCUCUUCCUUCCUGGAGGGGCCAGCGGUUUGCCCUCCCGCCUGCAGAGCUUCCACCACUUCUACUAUCUGGGCGCUUUUGCAGUGCCUGAACCACAGUGUAGAAUCCCACAGCAUGGCAUUCACCUGGGACAGUCAACGGGAAGAGCAGUGAGCCGUGAGUGCAAGACCACACUGCCCCAAAGCCCCUUGGCCAGGUGCAGGAGAGCCACAGCUGUACUGCUGGUCCAGGUCGGCACCCUCCAGGGAGUCCUGAGACUGUCCUGGGACCCCGGUGCAGCAGGAGUGUCCUCUCUUACCCGACUCCACCGUCGCCCCCACUCCAGGUGACUAGGUGAUUCCCAUCCCUGUGACCUGGAGCUCUGUGGGUGCUGCGACACUCGAUUAAUUCAGUCAGGGUCACUCCAGGUGAAUUGGGCUGGCAUUAAUAGUCACACAGACACAGAAAGUACUUUUUUCUUGGGGUUCAUUGAUGGCUCCUCAGCCCCAGCUCCUCCAAGGGAGGCAAGAGAGGCAGGCAAGAGAGAGAGAGAGCACACCUAAAACCCUCCUAUUUAUUGGGGGAAAGACAUUCGAAAAGGUUCAACCCAAAUAAGUCAAGGGAUUGGGUUUCAGGGGGUUGCUUGGUGGUGUCCUGCGGUCAGCAGAUUGACUGACAUCUUGGGAGGCCACACCCAUCUCAGGUGCCUUGUGGGGUCAAAGGUAGAGCAAGAGGAAAGGACACAUAGGUGGCACAGCCCAGUCAGAGCAGCAAGGUCAGCCAGUCCUCUUGUGGGCUCAAAUGCUCAUGGCUCACACUCACAGCCCAUGGUGGCUCUCCACAUGUGGGGUUGGACGUGGUGGUCCUAAAGUGAUGUGCUCUUGCCAGGGGACAUGACUGUCCCAUUGAACAACAGGGUGAUUUGGGAUCCUGUAUCAAGGGGUCAGUGAGAGGAGUCACCUCCUGGCAAGAGUACCUGGCCCGACCUGGACUUUGAGGCAGGGCUGCUGCCGCCCAGCAGGCGGGGAGGGGCCCGUGUGCACCUGGGGCUCACCUGGAAGCUCUUGGUGCCUCUGAGGGGAGAAGGACACCCUUCACCAAAGUAACUUCUCAAGGGAUAAAAGAAUUAAACACACUGGAAACUAGAUAAAAUGUAAGGCAUUUAUAAGAAAUUAAAAUUGGCUUGUGUAGAGAAUUAAUAAUUUUUUAUGCAUAAAAGUGAUAUAUGAACAAAUAAAAUGAAAAAUCAUGAAUAUAAAAAAAGUUUAACAAUCAAAAGGUGAACCACAGACCGGGGCAAGGCAGAUUUAGCCAACACCAAGCACUUGUUCUGGACAGUGGGCUGGAUGGCAUUUUCUCCUCCCCGUGUGUUCUCUAAUGUGGUUGAGAGACUCUUCCAAGAAACCCGUGCAGUCACUGUGAAGAGCGGAAGCGUUUGCAGAACUUCUCCUCUCACAGGGUCUCUUCGCUCUGUGGAUCGCUUCCUUGCUUUGCAGAGACUUCUUCCUUUGAUCCCGUCUAUUUGUCUAUUUGUGGUUUUGUUUCCUGUGCUCCGGGGGGUCUUACUCAAACAUGUGCACAAUCAAAAUAGUAAUUUAGAAAAUAAAAAAAUUUACAGGAAUCAAAUUAUUUUUGCUUUCUGAAAUAAAUCUUACGAAACUGACAGUUCACAGAAACAGCGAGAGAAAUGACUUCAGGACAUUAGAUAAAAGAGAAUGUGUGAAGCACCUCUCCCCCGUAUGCAGGUUCGUUAAGACGCAUUCUAGUGCAAGUGCUCUUCUUGCUGCUGUUCAGGAAGCACAAGCUGCUGACACGCAGAGCAGAUCCAGUUCCUCUCCUCUCAAAGCAGGAGAAAAACUCCUUGAGCAGAUCCACAAGGGUCCCCCAAAACCAAACACAGGGUUAGAGUUUCCCUUGUCCUAUCACCAAGCUGGUGGUGACCAGCCAAUAGACAAGAGAAUGGACAUUUCGAUUUGAUAAAUAAACCAAAGCAACACCUCCAUCCUUGUUAUGAGAUGCAAAGGGUCAAGUGGAAACCUACGAUGUCGUUUCUCUCUGCUGCGAAUCUGUGUUCCCUGCGUGAGGACUGAGGGGAUUAUUUCGCCAGGGUGGGUCAUUAAUUGAAUUCCCUACUCGGCUGACUUGGAGAACGGGAAGCCUAGAGCCGGGAUGAGCAGAAGGGACGCCCAUGGUUGAUGGGAUUAGAUGAUUUAGCCAGGUCUGGUAGAAUGUCUGUAUGCCCCUUAGUGUCAUUCACUCAGGGGGGCUGUCAGAGACAGAAGCCAACCUCCUGGCACCCGCCCCAGGAAGGUACAUUAGAACAGCAACAAUGACCCACCGAUGUUUUGAAAAAUUCGGCAAUUCACAGGAGACCCUCCACAUGCAGGACGAGAAGCCUGCGAUUUGAGAUUUAGUGCUGAGUGCUUUCUAAGAGGCAGGGUUUGGGUGCUAAGGAGUCCUAAUGGCAACUUCCAAGAGAAGUGUCUGGGGACCAGCUGAGCACCAUGAUCCUCAGGCUGGCAGAACACCACCUUCCUCCCUGUCACUUGCCACCUAGGCUGCCCUUGAAGAGGGGCCAAGCAGUUAGGCUGGCCUGGCAGCGGCUGGGUGAACACAUCCCUCCCUGUAGCUCUCCAGACUCAUCUGGACGCCCUGUCCCAAGUGCUGCCAGUGCCCGGCUAGAUGGACUCACAGUCAGGGCACAUCACUCCUUUGGUCUGAGCCGCCUGCGGCCCACGCUCUACCCCAGCUUGGGUUUUCCCAGUGGGAGAGACGGUUCUGGCGUCAUGAUCACAUCCUGAGUCUGUGCUUGUCACGCUGGACGCUGAAGGAACUCUCCUCACUGCAGGGCUCCUCUGACAGGAGUUGGCUGGCGCCCUCCUGGAGGACUUUCCGCUUCUGCCUUUGUUGGCUUGUUAUGUCGGUGUUUUACAUUCUUGGAGUUGAUGGUCAAAUGGGCCCAGGUUGGCUGGUGAGAGAACCUGUACGAUGGCCCGUGUCCUCUCACCAUGUUCCCAUUGUUCUUCUUUACCUUCAGGCACGAGGUGUUCCAGACUUAUCUUGUAGUUUUCCACUUUGAGAUCUGAAAUCAGUCAUUUUUCCAAGAGUCCUGGUUAUUUUUUGGUGAGGAAUGGUGUUUAGAAGCCAAGUGCUGGGGGGCCACGUUAGCCCAUUCCCACUUGGUGUCAUUGCUUCUGGGCCCACUCAGCAGACAGAGCAAAAGGAAUAUCUACGCCAAUGGCUAGCUAUCAUCACAUGUCAAUCUUCUAUCUCUACAUAACCACGCCAUCUCUGUAUCAUCUAUCAAUAUCUCUGUCACCUAUCUCUGUGUCAGUUAUGUAUCUACACAUCUAUCUGCAUAUCAGUCCAUCUCUAAUCUCUGUAUCUGUCAUUUAGUCUUUACCUCUCCACCCACCCUAAAAGCCAUACUGAUACCUGUAUUGAAAUACUUUACUUAUGGGUUCAUCCUACCCCCCCUUUCUCCAUAUUUGUAGUAUGAGAAAUGCGUCCUGCGCGACCCACAGUAUCUUUAGCUAUUUCUUCAGUGCUAGCGUGCAUAUGGCUGAGUGCCGACCUUUGACACUGGGAACAGAGCCCAGGGAACUCAGGGUGUGUGCAUCUUCUUUCUGCCUCUGGCCUGGGGAUGGAUGUCAAAAUACCGGGUCCGUGUGGCAUUCCGACCUGUCCUUCCUCCCCGUCUUUCAGCAUGGUUAUGUUAUUCAUCUGAAACCCCACGAUAGUCAAGUUGAUUUGUUUGUGUCUGUGUUUUGUUGUCUUCUGUCUUUUUCUUAUUGAUUUUGAGCAUAGGAGGCUCGUACUUCAGUGUGGUUCCAAGAGUCGGCACCAAGCUCAGGGACGCUCUCUUCUCCCCAGUCCUUCUCACUCAUUCUCUGGAGGUAGUCAGUUCCAGUAGUUCUGCUUUAUUCUUCCCGAGCUUCUUUUUGCACAAAUGAACAGAGACUCGUGUAUUCUUUUAAAUCUCACUUUUCACCUUUUGACCUCUUUUUAACUUGUAAAACCCAGUAGUGCUUUCUGGAAAUCUCCCCAUAUCAUCUUAUGGAGGACUCUGCCUGCUACCCACUGCCACUCCAUGGUGUGGAUAGACCUUGGCUUCUUCACCCACAAUCUAGGUAAAGGCAUCUGGGGAGUAGUAUUUGGUCAUUAUGAACAAUUCUGCAGUGAAAAACCUUGAUUUCACAUCAAUAAAUCAAAAGGCAAACUCAUAUGUUUUUGUUAGAAAUAGUCAGAUUCUCCUCCAUAACUGUAAACCGAUUUGCACGCUUUUUAGUGUGAUUUGGGUGUAGAAUAUUAUAUUUACAAUCUUUUGUCAAUUGAUCUGUGAGGAAUGGGAUCCCAGUGUUGUUUCAUUUAUUUACUUUUUCUGAGAAGUGUAUACCUCCAUCUGUUUUUGACUUUAAUUUCUCGCAGCAAAGUUUUAUAUUCUGGAGUGGACAAGUUUUGCACAUGUUUCAUAACCAUAGCACUGAGCUUUUAUCUCUUUCUCUUUAUGUUUGGGAAACUUCCACUUCUCUCCUGUUUAUGAGCUUCAGGGGGUUUAGUUCAGUGCUUUGGAGAGAGGCUAACAGCUUUCCUGUCAGCCUCCCUCGGGAUCAUACAGGUGAUCAAUUUGUUUUUCUCCCAAAUCCAAAGUGUUUUCCCCCAGAUAUUCCUUUCAGUUGUACAUGCAAGGUCAUGGGGCACCACUCCUAAUUCUCAAAUUGACUACUUAUUGCUUUCCAAUUUAACCUUGGUUUUCAUGAUGUGAAUAUCACUGUUUUACCAAAACAUUUGAUUUCUAUGUUUUCUAUCCAUAUCAACAACUUGAGGAAUUUCAUAUUUACCAGAAAAGUCAUUCCUUGGGUCCCGUGCUCUUUUUAAAUUAUUUUAUUUCACAUGUAUUUGCAUUGAAUCUGCAGACCAACAGAGGUAUAAUGAACAUGUAAAUGAUAUGUAAAACCUGAAAUUCCUUAAAUAUCAUGUCUAUUUAUGUUUUCCUAAAUACCUUUCUAUACAGUUUCCACGUUUUAUGGCUGAAUUUGAAGAUAAUUAAGACUUUCUGUGUUGGGCUUUCAGUGUAUGAUAAGGAUACAUCCCUCUACUAAUUAAAUAAUUUUAAAAAUUCACGUAAAAUUUGUUUUCUUUUAAAAUAUUUUUUAAAAAAUAUUUUUAUGCAUAUGUUUUAGUUGUAAAUGAACAUACAGGAUCUUUAUUUAUUUUCAUGUGGUUCUGAGGAUCAAACUCGGUGCUUCAUGCAUAUGAGGAAAGUGCUUUACCACUGAGUACAGCCUCAGCCCAUAAAUCUUGUUGCAGUAUAAUUGAUAUAAAAAGUGUACAUAUCAAAUGAAUACCUUUUGAUGAAUUUGAACAUGUAUAAAGCUCCCUGAUACCAUCUCAGCAUAGUUCAAUUUGCAUUUCUUUUAUUAUGAGAAUGAAAAUAUUCUCAUGUUUGUGGGUCAUUUUUUAUAUCUUUCUAAUUGUUCAUGCCUCUGGCUCACUCUUCUGUCAAGUUUUCAGAGAUUUUCUUCUCAAUUUCAAGGAAUCAUUUAUGUUAGAAAUAUUAUCUAUUGUCCCUGAUAUUGUGAGGAUAUUUUCCUCUAUCUUUGGACUUUAUUCAUGAUAACUUUGCUAUGCAAAUUACUUUUUUUUACUUACUGGCUCAAAUUUACCACUCCUGACAUUUGUCACUCUUCUGAUUGUGUCACGGUUUGAGAGACUUUCUCUGUACUAAGGCCAAAGAAGGGUUCACCUGUGCGUAUGUGUGGUUCGUGUGCGGCUUCAGAUCGCUGAUCCACCUGGCGUUGAUCCCUGCGUAUGGUGAGAGGUGUGGAUCUGGCUUUGACAUCUUCCUAGUGGCUCCCUGGUCGCCUGGCACCAUUUAUUAAAAAGUUCACCUUUGCUCUGGGAACUUGAGAUGCUACCUUUACUGUGCACUGCAUUUCAACCUGGGCUUGGGUCUUUUCUGGGUUUUCAAUUCCAUGCCACCUGUCUGGCUGCCUGUUCCUGCCUCAGCCUACGCUGUCACCUCAGGAGGCCUUGGAGGUGCUCAUGUAUCGGGAAGAGCAAGACUUUUUUCUUUUUCCUCUGUUUUUUUUUUUUUUUUUCCCUAGCAUAUUCAACUUCCCACAUGAAUUUCACGGUCAACUCUUCUAGCUUCUUGAAGCUCCUUGGUCUUUUAGUGGGAAUUUUGUUGAGUUUACAAGUUAUCUGGGGAAGGGGAACUGACAUCUUUAGAACUCUACUGAAUCAUCCUGUCCAAAGCUCUGCCUGCCUCUCAGGUACCACUGGGCCCACCGUUAGUUGGAUCCUUGGGAAGUGGAUACCGAGGCAGAACUAGCAGGUGGAAUGGGGAGGGAAGAGGGUGAUUGGGGUCAUGCUGUGAAGUGGGAAAACCAGUGAGAUGAUGGAGGGAGGCAGGGUGGCGGCAUGAGACACAGCAGAACAGCUGCAAAGCACAACUGUGAGGCAUGUGCUCCUCUUGUAGGUAGAUGGGGGACAUUGGGGGAAAUGCAGGGUUGAGCUGGAGGAGAGCGCAGGACAGGACUCGGAGGAGGAGCUCAGGGGCUUCCUUUGUUACUCUUGCAGAACUUUUUGAAUUUGUUUAAAAUCAUUUUUUUAAGUGACAAAUCAGUUAAAGACAUAAACCUCUAUUCAGGUUCAUAAUGGCCAGAAACGAUCAUUUGAAAGAUGACCCACCGAGUGCUGCAGGAGAGCCCCGCUGGAAAUAAUGCAGAAAUGCUAGGAAAGCCCCAGCGUCGACAGGCAGAGGAGAGGAAGGAAACGGUUAACUGGGAAGCUGGCUCCAAUGCCAAGAGCCAAAUAUAUUCGGUGCAUCAGUGUUCCACAGUGAGCAGGGAUUUGUCAGGCCCCCUCAGCUGGCUUUCUAAUUACAUCCUUGCCAGUCCAAGACCUCGGAGGUGUCAGUCACCCUUCUCCAUGGGGUCAGUCCCUGCACAGAUGUCCAUUAUUUAACCCAUAUCCUUUAUUGGCCAAUGCUCUCCUUAGAAUGUCAGUGGAUAAAACGAACUAACGGAUAAAAACACAGUUGCUGAUAUGUUUAUAGUUGUAAUUUAUAAUUCUUUGAGUGGUGGGUCAGUUUGAUGGCAGUGGCUCUGGUCUCAGAAUCCUUGAUGGUUUGAAGUCAAGUGGUAUCAGUGGAGCUUGGCAGCAGCAGCUGGUGCUGGGGAACCAGAGGCUCCCCACGGGGGUGGCAGCAAUCAAGGGGACUCAGACGUAACCCAGAAAGACACUGUGCAGUGGCCACAAGGGCCAUCUAAUAGCAUCUUCUUUCCUCACCAUGUCAAUCUUCUUGCAAUUUGCUCCAGAAAAAACUAACAUGGAAGUUCACACAGAGUGGAGGGCGCUGAUUAGCCAAACACCCUCUCUGCCUCCCCAGCAUGUCCAGUAGAGUUCAUUUCCAGUGCCUGCGUCGUCAUCUGGUUUACUGUGAUCUCCUGGAGCACACUUUGCACAGCAUUUGGAUUUAGUGUGUGGCAAGCAGAACACAGCUCCUAAGAUGUCCACACUUUGUCACCUGGAAUUUGUGGUUGUAAGAUUUGACAUGGCAAAAGGGACUUUGCAGAUAGAUUAAGGGUAAGGGUUUGAGAGGGAGGGAGGGAUUGUCCUGGAUAAUUCGGGUGUCUCGGACUAAUUACACAAGUCCCUAUAAGUAGAAGAGGAGGAAAAGGAAAUCAGAAUGGCAUCGUGAGGAAGAUUAGACACCCGUCGUCAAGAUGUAGGUGGUUGUGUGCAGGGACCUGAGAGAGGCCUCUGGUUUGCCAAUGGCAGUCCCCAGCCUCCAGCCAGCAAGGAAGUGGACACUCGGGUCUCACGGCAGCACCACAUCAAGUUCUGCCAAGAGUCAGGAUAAGGGAGGAAACUCCCCGCAAGUCUCCAGAGAGAAAUGAAGCUCUGACACCUAAAUUGUAGCCCAGCAAGGCCCACGCUGGGCCUCAGACCUGCAGAAGCCUAGGUGGACACAUUCAUGCUGUUGGAGCUGUUAAGUUUGUGGUAAUUCAUUACCACAGUAGCAGAAAACGAGUUCAGCCAGGGCCAGAGUCAGACAAACAAGCAGUAGUUGAUGGGUGAUGUCCGCCACGGGCACUGAGCUGGAGAGCUCACAGGGCAAGGGCCUGCCUGACAGGUCAGGGUGCAGCUCAGGGCCGCCAGUGCAGGGGCACCCAGCCUGUGGCCACGCGGGACGGUGAAGCAGGCGAGAGGUUCAGCAGGUGACUGGCUCCACGUCUCCCUCCACAGCCCCCAUCCUCUUGGUGCUAAUUUCACAUGGAGGUUUGCUCUGUCCGGGGAGGGAAGCAGGGCUUCGCCAGGGGACUCUGAUAAGGAGAUCUGCAGGCUGGGGUUGGUGGUCGCACUGACCAAGGUUUCAGAAAUCAGACGCGGAGCAGCACAGUGCAGCCCGGGGCAACGUCUUAGCCCUGGAGGACGGGGUUCUCACCUCGCCAGUGGAGCCUGAGGGAGGACCUGGACGGCUGUGGUCAGCCAGGACUGGGAAGCCUCUCUGGGGCCCACGAAACCUGUGCAGAAAAACCACUGAUGGAAACCUUUGUGACUUCCUUGUGGAUCACAGGUGGUGCUGCUGUGGUUCAGGUCCGUGUUGUCCCCAAAGCCCCAUGGGUUGAAGGCAUGGCCACCAGCCUGUGGCACUCUUGGGAGCUGGUGGAACCUUUAGGAGGUGCAGCCUAGAGGGAGGAGGCAGGUCACCAGGCGUGUGCCCCUGAUGGGAGCUAGGGACCCCAGCCUGUCUCCCUCCAUGCCCCACCCCUCUAUUCUCUCUUUGGCCACCAGGAAAUGAAGAGGCUCCUCCUCUGUGCAUUUGCACCAUGACGUUCUGUGCCACCACAGACCCAAAGCCACAGGGCCACGUGGCCAUGGACAACAGGCUCUAAAGCUGGGAGCUUUCCUCUAGAAGUUGGCCAUCCUGGGCCUUCUGCACAGCAGAGGGGGCUGGCCGUCUGACAGGCGGUACUCUAGGGGAGCUGGGGCCUGACCCGAAGCGCCUCCCCAGACACCUCCUCUUUGCACAGCGGCGGGUUCCCACGUUCUCUUAUAGGCCACAGACCUGGUGCUGGGGAAGGUAAGCUUUCUCUGAGCCCAUCUCUUCCAACUCACCACAUUCAGUGUGUCCCUUGGGGAUGGCACAGCCACCUGCCCUGUAGCCGGGCACAGCUGCACACUGAUCACUGAGGUGAUGUCACCAAUCCAGUCUCCCACUGGGGAAGAUGAGAACACAAUGAGUGUGAGCUGGAUCGCUGGCCAGUGAAGUGGCAGCUCAGAAGAAAGCCCUUCCUGCAGUGGACACCGUCUCAGGAAAGAGAGCACCAACUGGGAGGGCAUGGCCGAACCCAAGCAAGGAUGCCAAGGGCAAGAGGAGAAACUCUCCUAACACAUAAAUUAUGAAAGAUAAAAGCACAAAAUCCAUCAAAGAAAGAUUGAAUAGCAAGAGGAGAGCUGGUGGCGGUGCCUGUGGAGACGUCUGUAGUGAGGGAUAUUGAAAGAGGCAGCCUCUCGGCCACAUUCUGGUGACGAAUCUGCAUUUCCAGUACACAGAACCAUCCUACUUGAUCUCAGUAAAUGAGAUUUUUAGAAUGAAAGACAUUGAAAAUUAUUUUUGUUGUUAAACUUCUCAUUGACAAUACAAAAAUGAAAAGCCAUGAUUUUUAUCAGGCUCUGAGGAAAAAAUGGGGACCUUGGAACUCUGUUCCUAACCUAUUCAUUGUUCAUGUGGAAGGCCCAGGGAGUUUUCAACUAUGAAGCACUCAGUAAAUACGCCACGGUUGCUCUCCUUAGGAAAAGAUCAUUCAAGAGAGUGGAAAAGCAGAAACAGAAACAAUUCAUAGUAAAGGUGUCUACCAGAGGGGAGUCAGGACCUGCAGGGAACGGUGUGAGCGAGUUAUGACAAUGCAAUUCUAAAGGAAGAGUUCUUAACAAGGAAGGCCAGUCUGCAGGUGAAGGUCAGAUAUUUCUCAGAUUCUAGGAGCAGGGCAGGCAGCAUGAGGAAGUGAGAGAGUGACAAAGACCUUGUCUUUCCAAGAGACGCGGUUUAAGUAGAAAGAUGGGCUUUGUUGUAAUUAAGUUGUAACAAACAGAUAAAGGAUUGUGUUAGUCAGUUUUGUGUUGUGCAGCCAAAAUGUCUGCCAAGAGCAACCAGGAGAAGGAGAGAUUUAUUUUGGCUCAUGGUUUCAGGGUCAAGCCCACGUCAGUUGGCUCCAUUGCUCUGGGUCUAAGGUGAGGCGGAAGGGCAUGGUGGAGGAAAGCUGUCAGGUCACGGCAGAGAGAGAGAGAGACAGACAGACAGAGACAGAGGAGAUACACCCUUGGAGGGCACGCCCCAGUGACCUACUUCCUCCAACUAGGUCCCCACUUUAGCUCUCCACUCAAACACUGAACAGUUCAGACCCCUAUGAUCCAUCCACCUCCGAAAAUCCCAGCUCUGAGCUCAUGAGACUCUGAGAGACAUUCUAGAUCAAAACUCUAACAAGGAUGGAAUUUUUUUUUAUAAAACCCUAGGAAUAAACAAGCAAAGAUCUAUAUUAAAAAACAAAAUAAAACAAUAACUUUGUAAUUCAUUAAAAGUUAAGAAAGGGUAAAAAAAAAGUGAUAAAAAACAGCAAAUGGGAAGUACCAAAGCUGUACUCAUAAUAAAUGCAAAUUAGAUAAGUUGUCUCAUUUAAAGAAAAAGAUUUUCAUCCUGGUUACAAAAAACUAAAAGUUCCAGCUAUUUGUCUAGACUCUUAGAGACCCAUCCAAAGCACAAGAAGUUGUCCAUAAAGAGCGGGCAAAAGUGUGAGUCAAAGGCAUACAUGGGUGUGUAUGGUGUAUUCGUGUGUGCAUUCUAUUUGGAAUUUAAGGCAAAAAAUCAUUAAAAGGGAUAGAAAAGUAUUUUUAUGUUAUUGGAAGGUAGGGUCCAAAAGCAUUUUACACAUUGAUCUUCACAUCCUGAACAUAGCUGUCUAAUGUAGAAAGUGCAAUGAAAACUAUAAAAACUUGGUGAAAUCUUGUCAUCACGAUCGGUGCUGACCCCUUGUUCUCAGGAUUGGCUGGACCAAGUGCAAGAAAUGACGCAAGCACUUGACAGACCAUUAGCAAGCACACAGAAACAGGGUGUGUGGGAUUUAGUUAAUUAAUUCUACCAGGUUCCACUGAGCACCUGCUCUUUGUUCUGUACAGUGAGUGAAUAACAGUGAGUGAGACAGGAACAUCUCUGAAUCUUGGGGAGCUCCGUCCGGCAAUGGGCUGUGUUGGCCAGAUCCAUCACAUGGCUGCCUGGCACUUGCAGGGAAGAUGGGAUGUGGAAUUUCUGGUGCUGUGGCUGGGGCUGGCUGUGUAAUUCUCAGAACUGGUGCCCAAUGAAAACUCCAGGUCCUCUUGCUCAAAAGGUCCCUUUCUCACCUGCCCUUGAGUUUUUUAUUUUCUGAUUAAUGCCAUUCAUGCUGCCUUGGAUUGGAUGCUCGUGAGGUCGGUGCAGACGCAGGUGCUGGGCUCUUCCACCUGACUCUGCACAGGGGGCGCCUGCCCAAACCUUACUGCACUUGUGCCUCGGUGCUCGGUGCGGGUGACUGGGUGGAGGAGGCAUAGGGGAGAAGGUGCUGAGAAUCGGUGCUGGGGUGCAUGGGGUGCGUGGGGUGAUGAGGGAAAGCAGGCUAGCAGGUGGGCAGGGGCUCUGCACCCCGCACAGUCCCACUGAACUCAUGACCCACCACUGAGAUUUUUCAGACACCAGCCACGGAGGAUUGAGCCAGGACUGGGCCUCGUGCUCAGCUUCAGAGUCUCCCUAGUGCAGCCUGAGGACGGGGAGGGAACUGGAAACAGUUGUCAGAUCUGCCAACCCGAGGUUUCUGGAAGGGAGGAGAGGCAUUUUAUCACCAAGUUUCCAGCAGGAAGCGCAGCUGCUAAGCGGAGCAGCGCAGGGAGCUCCAGAUUUGUUCACUCUGGCGCUAACCCAGAGGCUCCACGACCCCAGGCGUCGGCCCCACGUUGAGCAGAUGGCGCCAGCAAUGUCAUCACACUGCUCUGUGAUUUCUGCCUUUCCCGUCCCAUUUGCAGUCACAACUGAGGGGCAGAUGGAAGGUUAAUUUUGCACAGUCAAUUUAGGAGGAAAUACAAACAAGCACACAAAACCUCCCUAUUGGUAUGAUAUUUGGAAAUUUCUUGCACUAGCAAAAAAUGCAAUUGUUGUCAAUCCAAAAGUAUGUUCAAGAAAAUAUUCAUGUGUGUGAGCAAGUCCUUUCAAAAUCCCCCAGUGUAACUUCACCUCUGUCAUGCAGUCCCCUCCAAGUCUUCAUUGCUGUGACUGCUGUCAUUCUGGGAUUUCAUCAACGUUUUUGGUUUAUUUUUUUCCUGACCUACCGCUAUGUUCCCAGUACCUAGAACAGGGCCUGAUACAUAAUAAAGUUAAUAAGUAUUUGCUGAAUGCAUACCUAAAUUUAAUAAGAAUUAUUACUCAGAUUUUAUAAGGUAACAUAUUCCUAGUAAGUAAAAUCAAAAUAGUGGGGUUGAUGUUUCAGAUAACUCAUUUACGAUUUGUAGAAUUGUUUUUCUUUCCCCUUCUGUUUUGUAAUGGGUGAGUUUCAUUUAUUUUUCAAGUUGCUUAAACAUGGAAUUUAUUAUGAAUUUUUGUUGGUUUCCAUACAGGGCUGGGAUGACAAUACUGCUUCCAGUAGUGAAGGGUGUCAGGUCAGGCCUCUCUGACACUUGUUCAAAGGCCCUGGUUUGGGUUCCAGCUGAGAGCUGGAGGCUGCGCUGCAGUCUGAGGCUCAGGUACCUUUGCUCCAGCCCCCAACAGUGCCUCCCCUAGACGGUGGCUGGCAGGUCACCAGGAAGAACGUGGGCCACACACUCUUCUCAGCAUGUCAUCUGAGAUUAAUAUGAGUAAGAGAAUGGGUUCAUUGCUAAGCCUAGGGUGCUAUCUGUUAGCCCAAAGCCAACAACAGAUGCCACUGCAAACAUUCCAUGCAGGGUGCACAACAUGGGGGUGCAAACAAAGCCACCCUUAUGGAGAAACCCUAGAGGCUGUGCCAAGGACCUCCCGUCCCUGCUGUGGCUAAUAGAGACACAUUUAUCCUGAGAUCCGGUCUGCUUUGUCCACUGCUGCCCAUGGGUCUCUGGAUGCAUGUAACGGGCCUCCUCUGGACCCAGUGGGUGGAACAAUUCCUCUUCCCUUUAGUUACACCCAGAUCCAACUGCAUCAAUCCCCAAAUGUCCUGGCACCUAAAUAUGAAUGCUGAUCUUGCUUUCUCUUUCAGAUCCCUGUAUUGGUCUGACCUCCAAGAAGCAAGUUCAAGGUGGCCUUAGCAUGCAAAAGAUUCACUAGAAGAAACCCCUGUGAAGAAUAAGGAGUGAGGCCAAGAGCCAGGAAGGGGAGUCUGAAGACCUGACCUAUGGAAGGAGAGAAGGAAGGGAGGAAGGCGGCAAGGGGAGGAGUCCCCGGCCCCAGUGCCAUUCUGGCAAUGGCUUGUCCAGGCCAAUGGACUCUGGACCCAAAUCUGUGUAAGAGUUGCAAAUCUGGCGGGGACGGCCCUGCAUUGAUAACACCAGAGGUUCUCAGGCCUUGACAGCAGCCUGUAGCAAGCGUGGCCUCUUUAAGAACACUGCGUGGAUCCAGAGAGGAGGUGUCCAGUGCUGCAAGCCAGCUGUGCUCCCUGCAGCAGGAGGUCUCCCGGCUCAUUUCUGUGGCCGCCACAACCCUCUUGCAUCCUGACUUCGAUAGAGCCAUCUCAGUCCACAGGCAGCUUUGAGAUCUUGGAAGCAUGCAGGCUCCUUAUAAAGAGGCUGUAUAGUUACAUACACUUUUGGAAGGCAUAGUGGGCAGAUGCCAAGUGGGGCUGGCAUGACCCCACCUCCUGGUAUUCACACUAUCGCGUGAUCUCCUCUGGGUUGUAGGCUAGACUUACUUCUGCCUGAUAAAAUUCGGCUAAAGUGAUAGGAUGCCACUUUGGGGACUAGUUUAGUAGAGAUUGUAACUUUUGUCUUGCUGUCAAUAUUGCUCUAAUAAAAUCUUCCUUGCCGGCUUUGAGGAAAAGCCAUAUGCUAAGAGCCAUGUAACCAGGACCUGAAGCAGCUUCCAGCCAAUAGCCAGUGAGAAAUAGAGCUCCCAACAGCAAGGAGUCGAUCCUGCCAGUGAUGUGCCCCCUUGAGUGGGUCCUGCACCAUCCAGCCUUCUGAUGAAGCCCCAGCCCUGGUCAGCACCUGACUGAAGACGUGUGAUACCUCGUGCAGAGGAUGCAGCAAAGCUGUCCCCAGACCUUUGACCCAGGAGCUCAUAAAUACAUGUUGCUUUAAACUACUAAAUCUGUGAUCAUUUGUUACACAGCGAUGGAGGCCUAGAGAGAGGCUGAGUCUACCUGUGACCACGAGCGGUUAGACCCUGCAUUCCCUGGACAGAUUGGAGGAGGAUUAUCAGACCUUCUGUCUAAAAGUAGGAGUCCCAGGCCUGAUUCUAACAAGCACAUUAGUAGGCAGCACAGAGUUAACUGCUGACUGUGUGAGCUACAGGUGCAGGACACCCUGGAGUUCAAGGAGCAAGUACAUGAUGCAACCAGGAGUCAGUUAAGUCCUGUGUGGACUCUGCAUUUGUUAGUCAUGCACACGUUCAGUGAAGGAGGACAGGCCUCCCCUCAAGUGAGUGCACAGAGACAGCAGAGUUGACGUUUGUCAGCAAGGCUGAAGAAACAGAACAGGCCAGACUCCUUGUGAUCUGAGUCAGGGAGAGAGACUUACAGAGUUGAUUCACACACACAGGAACCAGAAGGCACAGGGCUUUCAGGUGAGGAUUUAAAAAGAAAUGUGCUGAGCUAAUGAAGUUAGGGUGGGAGGUGGGAAUCCGAUUAAAGACAUCAAGCAGAGUAAUCAGAUCGGAGAAGCAGACCACCAGAUUACACAGUGUUGAUCACUGGUUGAGACUAGAGGGGAACUGGUAUUAUUUGUAAAAUGGUAUUUUGAUUUUUAUCAAAGUCCUUUACUCACUGAAGGUAAACUAAAAUAGAAGAAGGAUAAUUAGGGAAAACCAGGUUAAAAGUCUAAAAAAAUUUUUUUUUUGGUUGAGAUGGAGUCUUAUAGGAAAUUUUUAAUCAGAAAAAUAUCCAUUUCUCAGUUCAUAACGGCAAAAGAAGGCUGGACAUAAAUAAUGGUGGUAAAUAUAAAUUUGCUAAGUGACAAUAUGUUAAUUACAGAUCCAUAUUUAGCCAAAAAGAAAAAACUGAAAAUACAGAAAAUCACCUUAAAAAUAGAAGCUGAGAAAAGGGAAGGUAGAAAAACCACUGGAGGGCAUCUCCGUGACCCUUUAGUGACUUCAGAGGAGACAAGAAAUUUUGGUAUCAAACUUUCUAUAACAAGAAGUAAAAAUUAAUGCCUGUAUUUACCUAUUUAGACCCAGAAUGGAAACAGGUUCCUGGACAAAGCAGAGAGCAGCAACCUCCCUGGGAGCCCCCUGUUCUGGGAGGCGUGGGCCCAGGGACCCCUGGCCGCCAUGCAGUGACCACUCCCCUGACAGGCUGCCAACAGGCCCCUAGGGAGGCAAUGCUUCCCUGCAUGUGGAAGACUUGGGUUCAAGGUCCAGGCAGGUUAAGGAAUCCGCCCUGUGAUUCACAGUGAGAAAAUGGCACAGCCAGUGUGUGCAGCCCUGGUGGAGAAGGGUACCAGGUCUUCCCGGGCUGACCUGUGCCCUGCCCAAAUUCAUACGUGGAAACCCCAUCCUCCAGGACUUCAGAAUAUGACUCUAUUUGAAGAUGAGUCUUGAGAAAGGUGGGUAGGUUAAAGGAGGCCACUAGGGCGGGUCCUGAUCCAAUAUGACUGCUGUCCUUAUGAGAAGAGAGAGUUUGGACACACCUGAAGACAGCCAGGGUGUGCACACACAGAGAAGGGCCGGGUGUGGACACAGCAAGAAGGCAGCUGCCUGCAAGCUGAGGAGAUUCCAGGGGAAUCGAACCUUCAGCACCUUGAUCUUGGACUUCCUGCAUAAGGAACUGUGAGAAAAUAAAUUUCUGUUAUUUAAGCCACUCAGUCUGGGGUUUGUUGUUAUAGCAACCCAAGCAAACUCAUACAG
rnacentral:lncRNA from 1 species